rnacentral:lncRNA from 1 species
ACAGUUUUACAGCUACUGUCUGAGGUAAGUGAAACACAACACGCAUUUUAUAAAUCAAAAGUCCAUUAUUUUAUUUUAAAUUUAUAGAGUAAAUUGUUAUUAACAUAUAUAUCUAUGUAUAUGAUGCGUGUGUGUAUUAUAAUCAUACACAAGAGUAUAUACAAUUAUAUAUAUAGUAUAAUUUACAUACACACAAGUGAUAGAGCUCCAUUAAAAUCUUCUGCCAGACUUUUCCAUGCGUUCUCUUUAUCCUUCAUCGAAACAGCGUCAGUUUUUUAUUUUCAAUUAUUUCGCGAUGCUUUAUCACCAAAUCAACUGAUAUAUUCCUCUCGU